GCUGGGUUUGGUGGUGAACACCUUUAGCCCCUGCUACUUGGGAGGUGAGACAGGAGAUCAGCUGAGCCCAGGAGUUCGGGGCCAGCCUGAGAAACAUAGGGAGACCCUGCCUCUU
rnacentral:sRNA from 1 species